CUGCACGGCAGGAGUAUCCAUCAACCUGGAGAGAGCAAUUUAGGAGGCCUGGCAAGAUUUCUGGUAGCUUCAAGGACAUCUUGUUCCUGUGUGGAGGAAAGGGGAGAGUCUUCCUGUCCUGUCCUUCCCUCUGAAGAGUUCUUCAGCAUUUGGUAUCAUUAGCAUCAAGAGAGGAGCCAGGGACUGGGAUCUGAUUCCUCGACUGGUCUAGCAAAAGCCAUGAGGAGCCAUGUGUUCUAGCCCACCCAGCCGUCAAGGGUUUCCAGGAUCGCUGGAUUUACAGAAGCACCAUCACCUCUGUCGAAGAUCAGCUAUGGAUGGAACAUCUUGGAAAAGCAGAUGGAGGAGAAACUGUUGUUGUAUUCGGGAGAUAUUUUCCAGGCCCCCUUACUUGCACAUCUUCAAGCACAGGAUCACUCUCUGUGGCAGGUGGCUUCUACUCUAAUUGCCGUGUUCCUGAACCCCCCUGUAAUCAUAGUCAGUAUAAGUCUAGAAAUGGGCGAGCCUCAAAAGGUAUCAAGAAUGCCCUGUUAGCUUGGCAAAGCUCUCUGCAUUGUACAGAGGAUUUACUACUGCAAGUUGGUGAGACAAUUGGAUGCAUCUCAACAUUUCUCUACAUUGCUUCUUAUAAAGACUUAUUCAAAAAUUAUAGCCGUGAAAAUGGGAGGAUUACUCGACUUCUCCUCAAACUCUUCAAUUUAUCUUCCUUGCUAGGAUCCAGUAUCAUCCAGUGGAAACAGCACAGGACUUUGUGUGAUUUGGUGACUGAUGGCAAAGUUAUUGUGGCCUCUGCUUUUCUCUCAUCUAUUCUGGACUUUCAAAAGGAUGUUGGAAUUUGGAGACGAGAUGGAUUUUGA
rnacentral:lncRNA from 1 species